UAAUAAGAAAACUGAAGGUAGGCAGAGUUAGCUUCUUUUGCUUAAAAAAAAAAAAAGCGAUCUAACGCAUUAGACUUUGCGGUUAUAAAUGUUACUUGAGCAGCUUAGGAAAAUGAGCUUCAGUUUUACAACUUUGGGCUGGGUUUCAAGAAAGGGUACACACCGAAUUUUUGGAAGGAUGACGAUUUUUAAUAGGAAAAGAAGCAGGGCAUGGCAUGAGCCAAUAUUUAGAUCCGAAUAAUUAUUGGUGACUGCAGCAUGUCAGGCAGGGAGCCAGCUGUUUUUGCAUAUGCUCUCUAAGUCAAUUUUAAUUCUUUAUAAGAACAAUAUGAGGUGAAUCUUACUAUUCAUCACUUAUAUAUGGAGAAACUGAGGGUCAGGGAGGUGAAAUGACCUGUGCAAAAGUCACGUAACUAGCAAAUGAUGGCUUUGUUUCAAGUCCAUCAUCUGAUCAGGCAGAGGUGAAAGAGAAGAAUGCAAUGUGUGUUUUUGGGUAGUGGGUACUGUUCGGUUUGGCAGGACUGUGGGAUACAUGAAAGGCGGAGGGGCCCCUUGAGUGCUAAGGCAGAGAGUUGGAGUCUAUCGGGUAGGCAGUGAGAGGAAGGUUUCCGCAUCAGAGAGGGCACUGGUGGAGCCAUGCCUCAGAAACAUUGAUCUGCUAUUGUCCUCUACGAUGAAGAGAAAUGAGGCACGCUGGAGGCUUGGAGACCAGUUGGAGGAGCAUUGUAAAAACUCACAUAGGCCUGAAUGGGCAUGGGUGUUGGCAACGGAAAAAGAAAAAGGUAUUCUAUCGAGUCUCCAGAGCCCAGGGAAUUGCUGAACGAAGUCUGAGUUCUCCCUAUGUAGAUAGCUCAUACUUUUCAUUAUAGGUUUCUCAAGAACUUGCUCCCAGAAAAAACCUGGAUGGAGAACAAAACAGUUUUACAGGUGUUGAAAAAUCCCUCAAGUCAGUCCAACAGUUCCACUUUAACAGCAGGAUAUGACUUCUCUUUUAAAUCUGUACCAUCUGCAAACAGCACAGGCGUGUGGUCAACAAAAGUGAGUGGGAAUUGGGCUGGGUACUGCCCACAAUCUGAACCAUCAGUGCAGCUGCCCCAAUCCUGUGCAGUGGUGGCAGAUCCUGAGUAUUGCUGGCCAGGUAGGUCAUGCUGGGGGUGAAACUUAGGAUGGUGCUCUGCAGCCCUCGAGCAGGCAGCUCCACACCAGCUGCCAGUUGCAAGUCCAGUCCACACUGGGUGCACAUGGGGGAGCUUGGAAGCAGGAAGCCAUCUGGGUGAGCAGCAGCAGGAAGUAGCUGAAGAAAAAUUAUGGGAAGAUGAGGGGAGAAAAUGUAUAAUAAAUAAAGCUUGCCUUGUUAUGCA
rnacentral:lncRNA from 1 species